CAAAAGUUUGGUCCUAGCUUUACUAUCAAAUAUUUCUUAACUUACACAUGCAAGUCUCAGCACACCAGUGAGGACGCCCUUAGCCUCUCUUCCAGACAUAGGAGCCGACAUCAGGCACAGAACUCUUGCCCACAACGUCUAGUCCCACCACACCCACAAGGGUAGUCAGCAGUGAUAAAAAUUGUCCAUAAGCGCCAGCUUGAAUCAGUUAAAGAAAAAAGAGCCGGCCAACCUAGUGCCAGCCGCCGCGGCUACACCCUGGGGCUCAAAUUGAUAGUCACCGGCGUUAAGCGUGGUUAAAAAUUAAAACAACUAGAGCUAAAUUUGUACAUUAGUAGUGUAAAGCUAACUACCUAGAAACCCAAAAACGAAAGUUACUCUAAUUUAUUUGAACCCACGACAGCUGGGGCCACAAACUGGGAUCAGACACCCCACUAUGCCCAGCCGUAAAAAAUUAACUCACACCAAUAAGCGCCCGGGAAUUACGAGCACAAGCUUAAAACCCAAAGGAUUUGACGGUGUCCCACCCAUCUAGAGGAGCCUGUUCUAUAAUCGAUGAUCCUCGAUAUACCUCACCAUUUUUUGCUUUUUUCAGCCUGUAUACCUCCGUCGCAAGCUUACCAUUUGAAUGCCCCAAAGUAAGUUCAACGGGCCCCCCCGCCAAUACGUCAGGUCAAGGUGCAGCCAAUAAAAUGGAAAGCAAUGGGCUACAAUUUCUAAUAUAGAACAAACGAAAAACUACAUGAAACAUAGUCAUGAAGGCGGAUUUAGUAGUAAAAGAAGACUAGCGAGCUUCUUUUAACAAAAGGCCCUGGGACGUGUACAAACCGCCCGUCACCCUCUUCGAUAGCACCCAACUUAGCUACAUAACACCUACUCAGCACCUUAGAAGAGGCAAGUCGUAACAUGGUAAGUGUACUGGAAAGUGCACUUGGUUAAA
rnacentral:ncRNA from 1 species